GACGAACGCUGGCGGCGUGCUUAACACAUGCAAGUCGAACGGAAAGUCCCCUUUGGGGGUUCUCGACGGGAGAACUGGUUAGGAGCACGUGAGUAACCUGCCCUGGACUUCGGAAUAACUUCAGGCAACGGGGGCUAAUACCGGAUAGGCAGCUUUGCUGCAUGAAGGGGAUUGGAAAGCUUCGGCGGUAUGGGAUGGACUCGCGGCUUAUUAGCCUGGGGGUGUGGUAAUGGCUCACCAAGGCGAUGACGGAUAGCCGGUCGGAGAGGGGGACCGGCCACAUUGGGACUGAGACACGGCCAGAACUCCUACGGGAGGGAGCAGUGGGGGAUAUUGCACAAUGGGGGAAACCCUGAUGCAGCGACGCCGCGUGAGUGAAGAAGUAUUUCGGUAUGUAAAGCUCUAUCAGCAGGGAAGAAAAUGACGGUACCUGAGUAAGAAGCCCCGGCUAACUACGUG
rnacentral:rRNA from 1 species